rnacentral:lncRNA from 1 species
CACAAUGACCCAUAUUGAAUUGACUCCACGUGCAGUCCUAGGAAGCAUAGUGAAGAAAUCCAUUGUUAUUACACAUACUUAAGCUGGGAAAAAUAUAUAAAUGGAUUUCUAAACUGUUUACCCCAAUUUUGAUUUUUGUGCAUUUAAGGGUAUUAAAUCUUGGGAAAAUAGAAGAAAAAUAACAUAAACAAGAGAAAAAUCAUCAAAAUUUUAAUGACCCAUAUCAAAUUGAUCUACAAUGACCCAUAUCGAAUUGACUCAACGUGCAGUCCUAGGAAGCAUAGUGAUGAAAUCCUUUGUUAUUACACAUACUUAAGCUGGGAAAAAUAUAUAAAUUGAUUUCUAAACUAUUUAACGCAAUUUUAUGAUUUUUGUGCCACUAUCUCACGCAUGUAAAUCUCGGCCAGCUUCUCAACCGAUAUGCUCUCCUGGAUCGGGAUAAAAUGAGCACUCUUGGUCAACCGAUUCACAAUGACCCAUAUCGAAUUGACUCCACGUGCAGUCCUAGGAAGCAUAGUGAUGAAAUCCAUUGUUAUUCCACAUACUUAUGCAGGGAAAAAUAUAUAAAUUGAUUUCUAAACUAUUUAACCCAAUUUUACGAUUUUUGUGCAUUUAAGGGUAUUACAUCUAGGGAAAAUAGAAUAAAAAUAGCAUAAAGAAGAGAAAAAUCAUCAAAAUUUUAAUGUUGCCUCCUAAUACAAUAUAAGAGUUUCUGGAAAAUUUUCAUGAAUUUUGGAUGAGUAAAACUAUUUUUUCUGUUUUUAAUCCAUUAUAAACACAAAAAUCACGGAAAAAUAGAUAUGCAUUUUUAAAAAUUUCCAAAAUAUGUUUCUGAGUCUUAAAUAUAGGAUAGAAGCUGCGAAAAAUAAUAGAUAGUAUUUUCACAUUCCCUAAAGUGGAUUUAUGAUUUAUUGGUGUAAUUAAAAACAAAUUCAAAAACCAUACUAAACAGUACCAACAAUCUAUGAAACUUCAUGAGAGAUGUUUGUUGACUAAGAGGAUCAUCCACAAAUGUUUCCAGAAUUUAUUUACAAUAGUAAGUAUUUUAUAUGCUUUAACACUCUAUUUUCUUAUUAUUUUCAUGUAAAAAUAAAGAAAAUAUAUAUUGAGCUGAAAUUUUCCAGAAUGCAUCUUCAUACAAUUUAAUAUAAUUUAAAAAUCGUUUUCUUAUUUUUGAUGUCAGAAAACAUGCCUAAAGGCUCAAUAAAUUAUAGAGAAAACUUGAUACUUGUGAUUUUGGUAAAGAUUAUUGAUGUUACUUUGAGAAUUUUUGCAACAUUCUCCAAAGACUUUUCAAUCAAGAUCUUUUUGUACCUCUUAAUAUAUGAUGUUUAGUGCUCAAAUUCAUUUUUCCUAGAUUUUUAGUGAGGAUUAAGCGCUUUGAACAUGCAAUACAAAACUAGUAUUCACAAAAAGGUGCUGAUUGAGCAACAGUUUUGUAAAAAUUGAUAAAAAUCUAAAUGUUGGAAUUUUCGAAUGAGGUCAGAUGGGUGUGAAAUCUAACUCAAAAUAUUAUAUUUCAGAAAAAAAAAAUUUCGAAUUUUGGUUAAGAAAUGAGCGAGACAUGGCAAUUUAAAGUCAGCCAAAGAAAUAUGGCAGAUUGCAUGCAUGGUGAUUGGUUAGAAAAUUGGUUUUUCAUCAUUAUUUUGAGUAAAUCCUUUGAAAUAUUUUAAGGAUACCAUGAUAAAUUCACCUUCUAGUCAUGUUUCCAGAGAUCAAAAGAUUAAAACUUAUCAAAAUACAUACAUGCAUUUAUGAACAUAAUUUUGUUUCUCAAAAACUCUUAACUUGAGUUUGAUGUUUUAAUCCUUAAAAUCGAUUUUUGCACUAAGAUCACGAACAUGCAACCAUGUUUAUCAUAAAUUCAUGGUGUUAAAACACAUCCAUGAUGUUCUAAUAACCAUUUUAACAAAAAUAAAACAAGAUUGAAGAAGUAGAAGUCGGUUUUUGAAGUAAAAUGCACAUGCAUGGCUUAAAUCAUUGUUGUGGAUCUUCAAGAGAUGUAUGUUCUUUACCUUAAAUUUAUUUGUGGCUUGAAAAAGCCUUAUGAAUUUCCAUAAUUUCGUGGUUAAGAGGCUAUGGUUGCGGUGUUUGGAGAAAAAAAAUUAGAGAGAAGGUAGAGAGAGUUUUCUAGAGAGAGAAAGAAGAGAGAUGUGUGUGUGUGUGUGUUGGAGAAUGAGAGUGUGAGAGAGAGAUAUGGGAAGAGAGGGGUCCGAAAUUUUGAGUAUAAUACCCCUUUCUCAUUCAUUUUGUUUUAUAAAAUUUAGGUUCUUUUAUAAAAUAUCUCAAUUUUAUAUAAAAUGUGCAAUAAAAUCAAGUUUCUAUUCAUAAAACCUUGAUUUUUCAUUUAUAAAUUAAGGGUAAAUGUUAUUGAGUUAAAUUUUAUUUUCCUUGAAUGCAUUUUAUAAUUUUAAUUAUUAUAAUAUCAUAUUAUGAGGCUCAUAACUAUUUUUAUAGAGUUUCUAAGGUUAAUUUCAUAAAUUUAGGUUUUUAGGGCAUUUAGGGUUUUUGAGUUUUAUAAAUCUUUGGAUAUCAAAAUCAAUAGAAUCUUUGAGACUUAAAUUUAUCUUAUGGUAUUAUAACUCUUUUAUAGUUAUAAUAAUGUUUGUAACUUAUUUUAUCGGCUUAUUGGCAUUCUAUGUAGUGGUUUCGAGAUUCAAGCGAAAUUAAACAAAUCAAGUAUACUAGUCCUAGUUUUCAACUUUGACUUAAGUUCCUACGAGACUCGGACCUAAUUUAUAGCACUAGGUCAAGGGCAUGAUGUGUGUAUAUGGUUCAUGAAAAGGUGUUCAAGUCAAAGAGUGACCCGAAUAUGGAUAAUUACUACAGUUAAGUAGUUAUAGAAUUCACAUAACAAUGUGAAAUCUAAGUAUAUUGUCCAUCGUUUCUAAUUGUUUCCAAAUUUUCUAGUAGAUUAUAACUCAACUUCUAGUUACUAAGUCUACUAUGUGUCGUUCCUACACGUGCAACUAAGUUUAGUCAAAUCUAGAACCGACUCGAAUUUUUGACGGUUGUCACACUUGCUGAGCUCCGCUGGGAGAUCCAAUCUGUACGCCACCCUGCCCACCCGGGCUAUGACUCUGAAGGGACCGAUAUACUUGGGGCCCAACUUUCCCUGCUUCCGGAACCGGAUGACACCCUUUCAGGGUGACACCUUCAGGAGGACCAUAUCACCCACCUGAAACUCCAAGUAUGAACACCGCUUCUCGGCGUAGCUAUUCUGUCGUCUCUGAGCAGUUUGGAGCCUACUUAGAACCUACUGGAUCCGCUUUGUGGUCUUGAGUACUACCUCAGUACUCUCCAUGACGCUCUGACCGACCUCGCGCCACCAGAUUGGGGUCCUACACUUCCUCCCAUAGAGCAUCUAGAAGGGAGGUCGGUGAAUGUUGGCGUGGUAGUUGUUGUUAUACGAAAAAGCGGUGUUGAAGUGGAGACGAGUAUCCAUCUCGUCAUGAAACCGCUUCCAGAAUCUGCAAGUAAAACGGACAUCUUGUAUAGACACCACCGAGAUUGACACUCCAUGUCGUGCCACUAUCUCACGUAUGUAAAUCUCGGCCAGCUUCUCAACCGAUAUGCUCUCCUGGAUCGGGAUAAAAUGAGCACUCUUGGUCAACCAAUCAACAAUGACCCAUAUCGAAUUUACUCCACGUGCAGUCCUAGGAAGCAUAGUGAUGAAAUCCAUUGUUAUUACACAUAUUUAAGCUGGGAAAAAUAUAUAAAUGGAUUUCUAAACUGUUUACCCCAAUUUUAUGAUUUUUGUGCAUUUAAGGGUAUUAAAUCUUGGGAAAAUAGAAGAAAAAUAGCAUAAAGAAGAGAAAAAUCAUCAAAAUUUUAAUGACCCAUAUCAAAUUGAUAUACAAUGACCCAUAUCGAAUUGACUNAUACAAUGACCCACAUCGAAUUGACCCCACGUGCAGUCCUAGGAAGCAUAGUGAUGAAAUCCAUUGUUAUUACACAUACUUAAGCUGGGAAAAAUAUAUAAAUUGAUUUCUAAACCGUUUAACCCAAGUUUAUGAUUUUUGUGCAUUUAAGGGUAUUACAUCUUGGGAAAAUAGAAGAAAAAUAGCAUAAAGAAGAGAAAAAUCAUCAAAAUUUUAAUGUAGCCUCCAAAUACAUUAUAAGAGUUUUUGGAAGAUUUUCAUGAAUUUUGGAUGAGUAAAACUAUUUUACUGUUUUUAAUCCAUUAUAAACACCAAAAUCAUGGAAAAAUAGAUAUGCAUUUUUAAAAAUUUCCAAAAUAUGUUUCUGAGUCUUAAACAUAGGGUAGAAGCUGCGAAAAAUAAUAGAUAGUAUUUUCACAUUCCCUAAAGUGGAUUUAUGAUUUAUUGGUGUAAUUAAAAACAAAUUCAAAAACCAUACUAAACAGUACCAACAAUCUAUGAAACUUCAUGAGAGAUGUUUGUUGACUAAAGGGAUCAUCCACAAAUGUUUCCAGAAUUUAUUUACAAGAGUAAGUAUUUUAUAUGCUUUAACACUCUAUUUUCUUAUUAUUUUCAUGUAAAAAUAAAGAAAAUAUAUAUUGAGCUGAAAUUUUCCAGAAUGCAUCUUUAUACAAUUUAAUAUAAUUUAAAAAUCGUUUUCUUAUUUUUGAUGUCAAAAAACAUGCCUAAAGGCUCAAUAAAUUAUAGAGAAAACUUGAUACUUGUGAUUUU